AUUGAACGCUGGCGGCAGGCCUAACACAUGCAAGUCGAACGGUAACAGAAAGCAGCUUGCUGCUUUGCUGACGAGUGGCGGACGGGUGAGUAAUGUCUGGGAAACUGCCUGAUGGAGGGGGAUAACUACUGGAAACGGUAGCUAAUACCGCAUAACGUCGCAAGACCAAAGAGGGGGACCUUCGGGCCUCUUGCCAUCGGAUGUGCCCAGAUGGGAUUAGCUAGUAGGUGGGGUAACGGCUCACCUAGGCGACGAUCCCUAGCUGGUCUGAGAGGAUGACCAGCCACACUGGAACUGAGACACGGUCCAGACUCCUACGGGAGGCAGCAGUGGGGAAUAUUGCACAAUGUGCGCAAGCCUGAUGCAGCCAUGCCGCGUGUAUGAAGAAGGCCUUCGGGUUGUAAAGUACUUUCAGCGGGGAGGAAGGGAGUAAAGUUAAUACCUUUGCUCAUUGACGUUACCCGCAGAAGAAGCACCGGCUAACUCCGUG
rnacentral:rRNA from 1 species